UACAGAGGGUGCAAGCGUUGUUCGGAAUUAUUGGGCGUAAAGAGCUCGUAGGCGGUCUGUCGCGUCGGCUGUGAAAACCCGGGGCUCAACCCCGGGCCUGCAGUCGAUACGGGCAGACUAGAGUGCGGUAGGGGAGACUGGAAUUCCUGGUGUAGCGGUGAAAUGCGCAGAUAUCAGGAGGAACACCGGUGGCGAAGGCGGGUCUCUGGGCCGUAACUGACGCUGAGGAGCGAAAGCGUGGGGAGCGAACAGG
rnacentral:rRNA from 1 species